CCCUUAGAUGUUCUGGGCCGCACGCGCGCUACAAUGAUGAAUUCAACGAGUUUAUAACAUUGGUUGAAAAGCCUGGGUAAUCUUUUGAACUUUCGUCGUGAUGGGGCUAGACCCUUGCAAUUAUUGGUCUCCAACGAGGAAUUCCUAGUAAACGCAAGUCAUCAGCUUGCAUUGAUUACGUCCCUGCCCUUUGUACACACCGCCCGUCGCACCUACCGAUUGAAUGGUCCGGUGAAAUCUUCGGAUUGAGACUUUGAUUUGUUUACUCAAAACGCUGUUUCAAGAAGUUGAUUAAACCUUACCAUUUAGAGGAAGGUGAAGUCGUAACA
rnacentral:rRNA from 1 species